rnacentral:rRNA from 1 species
CCUACGGGGGGCUGCAGUGAGGAAUAUUGCGCAAUGGGCGAAAGCCUGACGCAGCAAUGCCGCGUGAGUGAAGAAGGUAAUUUUUACUGUAAAGCUCUGUCGGAAGGGAAGAAAGAUUGGGAUUGGCUCCCAAUUUGACGGUACCUUCAAAGGAAGCACCGGCUAACUUCGUGCCAGCAGCCGCGGUAAUACGAGGGGUGCAAGCGUUGUCCGGAAUCAUUGGGCGUAAAGGGUGCGUAGACGGAAUAUUAAGUCUGAUGUGAAAGCCUACAGCUUAACUGUAGAGGGUCAUUGGAUACUGGUAUUCUUGAAUCACAGAGGGGGUAGUGGAAUUCCAGGUGUAGCGGUGAAAUGCGUAGAUAUCUGGAGGAACACCGGUGGCGAAGGCGACUGCCUGGCUGUGAAUUGACGUUGAGGCACGAAAGCGUGGGUAGCAAACAGGAUUAGAUACCCAUGUAGUC